UACAGGGGGUGCAAGCGUUGUUCGGAAUUACUGGGCGUAAAGGGUCUGUAGGUGGCCAACUAAGUCAAACGUGAAAUCCCCGGGCUUAACCCGGGAACUGCGACCGAUACUGGUUGGCUUGAAUUCGGGAGAGGGAUGCGGAAUUCCAGGUGUAGCGGUGAAAUGCGUAGAUAUCUGGAGGAACACCGGUGGCGAAGGCGGCAUCCUGGACCGGCAUUGACGCUGAGGCGCGAAAGCCAGGGGAGCAAACGGG
rnacentral:rRNA from 1 species